UACGAAGGGGGCUAGCGUUACUCGGAUUGACUGGGCGUAAAGGGCGCGUAGGCGGCUUGUACGAGUCAGACGUGAAAUUCCUGGGCUCAACCUGGGGGCUGCGUUUGAUACGUGCGGGCUUGAGUUCGGAAGAGGGUCGUGGAAUUCCCAGUGUAGAGGUGAAAUUCGUAGAUAUUGGGAAGAACACCGGUGGCGAAGGCGGCGACCUGGUCCGAUACUGACGCUGAGGCGCGAAAGCGUGGGG
rnacentral:rRNA from 1 species